CUACGUAGGGGACGAGCGUUGUCCGGAAUUACUGGGCGUAAAGGGUGCGUAGGCGGCCUUGUAAGUCAGAUGUGAAAUCUCACGGCUUAACCGUGGUAAGCAUUUGAAACUGUGAGGCUUGAGUACAGGAGAGGAGAGUGGAAUUCCUAGUGUAGCGGUGAAAUGCGUAGAUAUUAGGAGGAAUACCAGUGGCGAAGGCGACUCUCUGGACUGUAACUGACGCUGAGGCACGAAAGCGUGGGGAGCAAACAGGAUUAGAUCCCCUGGUAGUCCACGCCGUAAACGAUGAGUGCUAGGUGUCGGGGGUCAAACCUCGGUGCCGCAGUUAACACAUUAAGCACUCCGCCUGGGGAGUACGGUGGCAACACUGAAACUCAAAGGAAUUGACGGGG
rnacentral:rRNA from 1 species